rnacentral:rRNA from 1 species
UUAAAUUGAAGAGUUUGAUCAUGGCUCAGAUUGAACGCUGGCGGCAGGCCUAACACAUGCAAGUCGAACGGUAACAGGAAGCAGCUUGCUGCUUUGCUGACGAGUGGCGGACGGGUGAGUAAUGUCUGGGAAACUGCCUGAUGGAGGGGGAUAACUACUGGAAACGGUGGCUAAUACCGCAUAACGUCGCAAGACCAAAGAGGGGGACCUUCGGGCCUCUUGCCAUCAGAUGUGCCCAGAUGGGAUUAGCUUGUUGGUGAGGUAACGGCUCACCAAGGCGACGAUCCCUAGCUGGUCUGAGAGGAUGACCAGCCACACUGGAACUGAGACACGGUCCAGACUCCUACGGGAGGCAGCAGUGGGGAAUAUUGCACAAUGGGCGCAAGCCUGAUGCAGCCAUGCCGCGUGUAUGAAGAAGGCCUUCGGGUUGUAAAGUACUUUCAGCGGGGAGGAAGGUGUUGUGGUUAAUAACCGCAGCAAUUGACGUUACCCGCAGAAGAAGCACCGGCUAACUCCGUGCCAGCAGCCGCGGUAAUACGGAGGGUGCAAGCGUUAAUCGGAAUUACUGGGCGUAAAGCGCACGCAGGCGGUCUGUCAAGUCGGAUGUGAAAUCCCCGGGCUCAACCUGGGAACUGCAUUCGAAACUGGCAGGCUUGAGUCUUGUAGAGGGGGGUAGAAUUCCAGGUGUAGCGGUGAAAUGCGUAGAGAUCUGGAGGAAUACCGGUGGCGAAGGCGGCCCCCUGGACAAAGACUGACGCUCAGGUGCGAAAGCGUGGGGAGCAAACAGGAUUAGAUACCCUGGUAGUCCACGCCGUAAACGAUGUCUACUUGGAGGUUGUGCCCUUGAGGCGUGGCUUCCGGAGCUAACGCGUUAAGUAGACCGCCUGGGGAGUACGGCCGCAAGGUUAAAACUCAAAUGAAUUGACGGGGGCCCGCACAAGCGGUGGAGCAUGUGGUUUAAUUCGAUGCAACGCGAAGAACCUUACCUGGUCUUGACAUCCACAGAAGAAUCCAGAGAUGGAUUUGUGCCUUCGGGAACUGUGAGACAGGUGCUGCAUGGCUGUCGUCAGCUCGUGUUGUGAAAUGUUGGGUUAAGUCCCGCAACGAGCGCAACCCUUAUCCUUUGUUGCCAGCGAUUAGGUCGGGAACUCAAAGGAGACUGCCAGUGAUAAACUGGAGGAAGGUGGGGAUGACGUCAAGUCAUCAUGGCCCUUACGACCAGGGCUACACACGUGCUACAAUGGCGCAUACAAAGAGAAGCGACCUCGCGAGAGCAAGCGGACCUCAUAAAGUGCGUCGUAGUCCGGAUUGGAGUCUGCAACUCGACUCCAUGAAGUCGGAAUCGCUAGUAAUCGUGGAUCAGAAUGCCACGGUGAAUACGUUCCCGGGCCUUGUACACACCGCCCGUCACACCAUGGGAGUGGGUUGCAAAAGAAGUAGGUAGCUUAACCUUCGGGAGGGCGCUUACCACUUUGUGAUUCAUGACUGGGGUGAAGUCGUAACAAGGUAACCGUAGGGGAACCUGCGGUUGGAUCACCUCCUUACCUGAAAGAA